rnacentral:rRNA from 1 species
GACGUAGGGCGCGAGCGUUGUCCGGAUUUAUUGGGCGUAAAGAGCUCGUAGGCGGCUUGUCGCGUCGACUGUGAAAACCCGCGGCUCAACCCCGGGCCUGCAGUGGGUACGGGCAGACUAGAGUGCGGUAGGGGAGACUGGAAUUCCUGGUGUAGCGGUGAAAUGCGCAGAUAUCAGGAGGAACACCGGUGGCGAAGGCGGCAUCCUGGACCAACACUGACGCUGAUGAGCGAAAGCCAGGGGAGCAAACGGG